ACCUCGACACCUACGGGAGUCAGCAGUGGGGAAUAUUGCACAAUGGGGGAAACCCUGAUGCAGCAACGCCGCGUGAAGGAAGACGGUUUUCGGAUUGUAAACUUCUGUUCUUAGUGAAGAUAGUGACGGUAGCUAAGGAGCAAGCCACGGCUAACUACGUGGCAGCAGCCGCGGUAAUCUGAGCGGGCUGGCAAGGC
rnacentral:rRNA from 1 species